rnacentral:rRNA from 1 species
GAUGAACGCUAGCGGCAGGCCUAACACAUGCAAGUCGAGGGGUAGAAUUAGCUUGCUAAUUUGAGACCGGCGCACGGGUGCGUAACGCGUAUGCAAUCUGCCUUGUACUGAGGGAUAGCCCAGAGAAAUUUGGAUUAAUACCUCAUAGUGUUAUUGAAUGGCAUCAUUUAAUAACUAAAGUUCCAACGGUACAAGAUGAGCAUGCGUCCCAUUAGUUAGUUGGUAAGGUAACGGCUUACCAAGACGAUGAUGGGUAGGGGUCCUGAGAGGGAGAUCCCCCACACUGGAACUGAGACACGGACCAGACUCCUACGGGAGGCAGUAGUGAGGCAUAUUGGUCAAUGGGCGCAAGCCUGAACCAGCCAUGCCGCGUGCAGGAUGACGGUCCUAUGGAUUGUAAACUGCUUUUAUACGGGAAGAAACACUCCUACGUGUAGGAACUUGACGGUACCGUAAGAAUAAGGAUCGGCUAACUCCGUGCCAGCCGCCGCAGUAACAC